UCAAGUUAUAAAGGGCGCAUGGUGAAUGCCUUGGCACCAGGAGUCGAAGAAGGACGCGAUAAGCUGCGAUAAGCUUUGGGUAGGCGCAAAUAGCCUGUGAUCCAAAGAUUUCCGAAUGGGGCAACCCAGUGAGCAAACGCUCAUUACUGUAUACUAAAUACAUAGGUAUAUAGGGACACACCUAGGGAACUGAAACAUCUAAGUACCUAGAGGAAGAGAAAGAAAAAUCGAUUUUCUAAGUAGCGGCGAGCGAAAGGGAAAGAGCCCAAACCAGUAACUUGUUACUGGGGUUGCGGAUAGGCUAUAAAAUGGAGAGGUAUCUUAAUCGAAUAAAGCUGGAAAGCUUAACCGUAGAAGGUAAUAGUCCUGUAGAUGAAAAGAGAAGACUCCAAGCCUAAUCCAGAGUACCACGAGACACGAGAAACCUUGUGGGAAGCAGGGAGGACCACCUCCCAAGGCUAAAUACUACCUGGUGACCGAUAGUGAAGAAGUACCGUGAGGGAAAGGUGAAAAGAACCCCGGGAGGGGAGUGAAAUAGAACCUGAAACCGUGUGUCUACAACCAAUCGAAGCACUUUUACGUGCGACGAUGUGCUUUUUGUAGAACGAGCCAACGAGUUACGGUAUGCAGCAAGGUUAAGUACUUAAGGUACGGAGCCGAAGGGAAACCGAGUCUUAAUAGGGCGAAGAGUUGCAUGCUGUAGACCCGAAACCGAGUGACCUAUCCAUGGACAGGGUGAAGCGGAAGUAAAAUUCCUUGGAGGCCCGAACCACAUUGGUGUUGAAAAACCAUGGGAUGAGCUGUGGAUAGCGGAGAAAUUCCAAUCGAACUCGGAGAUAGCUGGUUCUCCUCGAAAUAGCUUUAGGGCUAGCGUCUGGUAAUUGAGUUAUGGAGGUAGAGCACUGAAUAGGCUAGGGGCGUUACAACGUUACUGAACCUUAUCAAACUCCGAAUGCCAUAUACUUUUAUCCAGGCAGUCAGACUGCGAGUGAUAAGAUCCGUAGUCAAAAGGGAAACAGCCCAGAUCAUCAGCUAAGGUCCCAAAGUAUAGGUUAAGUGGAAAAGGAUGUGGGAUUUCAUAGACAACUAGGAUGUUGGCUUAGAAGCAGCCACUCAUUCAAAGAGUGCGUAAUAGCUCACUAGUCGAGAGAUCCUGCGCCGAAGAUGUCCGGGGCUAAAACCUAUCACCGAAGCUAUGGACUUAGUCGAAUGACUAAGUGGUAGAGGAGCAUCCUGUAUUGGUAGAAGUCAUACCGUAAGGAGUGGUGGACGAUACAGGAGAGAGAAUGUUGGCAUAAGUAGCGAGAAAUAAGUGAGAAUCUUAUUGGUCGAAAACCUAAGGUUUCCUGAGGAAGGCUCGUCCGCUCAGGGUUAGUCGGGACCUAAGCCGAGGCCGAAAGGCGUAGGCGAUGGACAAUUGGUUGAUAUUCCAAUACCACUAAUGGACGUUAUUAGAGAUGGGGUGACGCAGGAGGAUAGGAUGAGCGUACUGUUGGAAUAGUACGUCUAAGCAUCAAGUCAGACUCUUUAGGCAAAUCCGGAGAGUUAAUGGUGAGGUGUAAAAGAUAACCCUUUAAUGGGUGAAGCAUCCGAUUUCACGCUGCCAAGAAAAGCCUCUAUCGAGGAAAUUAGUGCCCGUACCGCAAACCGACACAGGUAGGUGAGGAGAGAAUCCUAAGACCAGCGGAAGAACUGCUGUUAAGGAACUCGGCAAAUUAACCCCGUAACUUCGGGAGAAGGGGUGCCUGAGCAAUCAGGUCGCAGUGAAAUGGCCCAAGCAACUGUUUAACAAAAACACAGGUCUCUGCUAAAGCGUAAGCUGAUGUAUAGGGGCUGACGCCUGCCCGGUGCUGGAAGGUUAAGGGGAUCACUUAGCGCAAGCGAAGGUGUGAACUUAAGCCCCAGUAAACGGCGGCCGUAACUAUAACGGUCCUAAGGUAGCGAAAUUCCUUGUCGGGUAAGUUCCGACCCGCACGAAAGGCGUAACGAUCUGGGCGCUGUCUCGGAGAGAGGCUCGGCGAAAUAGAAUUGUCUGUGAAGAUGCGGACUACGUGCACCCGGACAGAAAGACCCUAUGAAGCUUUACUGUAGCUUGGUAUUGUGCUCGGGCUCGGAAUGCGCAGGAUAGGUGGGAGGCUUUGAUCCAUUGCUUGCGGGUGAUGGUGAGCCAACGGUGAGAUACCACUCUUUUCGAGCUUAAGUUCUAACGGUCACCCGUUAUCCGGGGACCGGACAGUAUCAGGUGGGCAGUUUGACUGGGGCGGUCGCCUCCUAAAAGGUAACGGAGGCGCGCAAAGGUUCCCUCAGGCUGGUUGGAAAUCAGCCGACGAGUGUAAAGGCAGAAGGGAGCUUGACUGUGAGACCUACAAGUCGAACAGGGACGAAAGUCGGCCUUAGUGAUCCGACGGUUCUGAGUGGAAGGGCCGUCGCUCAACGGAUAAAAGUUACUCUAGGGAUAACAGGCUGAUCUCCCCCAAGAGUUCACAUCGACGGGGAGGUUUGGCACCUCGAUGUCGGCUCAUCGCAACCUGGGGCUGAAGUCGGUCCCAAGGGUUGGGCUGUUCGCCCAUUAAAGCGGUACGCGAGCUGGGUUCAGAACGUCGUGAGACAGUUCGGUCCAUAUCCGGUGCAUGCGCAGGAACAUUGAGAGGAUUUCUCCCUAGUACGAGAGGACCGGGAGGAACGCACCUCUGGUGUACCAGUUAUCGUGCCAACGGUAAACGCUGGGUAGCCAUGUGCGGAGAGGAUAACCGCUGAAAGCAUCUAAGUGGGAAGCCCACCUCAAGAUGAGUGUUCCCAUGGCGUUAGCCAGUAAGGUCACGGGAAGAACACCCGUUGAUAGGCUCUACGUGGAAGCGUGGCAACACGUGAAGCGGAGGAGUACUAAUAGACCGAGGGCUUGACCAU
rnacentral:rRNA from 1 species